UGAGGAAUAUUGGUCAAUGGGCGGUAGCCUGAACCAGCCAAGUAGCGUGCAGGAUGACGGCCCUAUGGGUUGUAAACUGCUUUUAUGCGGGGAUAAAGUCACCCACGUGUGGGUGUUUGCAGGUACCGCAUGAAUAAGGACCGGCUAAUUCCGUGCCAGCAGCCGCGGUAAUACGGAAGGUCCGGGCGUUAUCCGGAUUUAUUGGGUUUAAAGGGAGUGUAGGCGGCCUGUUAAGCGUGUUGUGAAAUGUAGAUGCUCAACAUCUGAACUGGAGCGCGAACUGGCUGGCUUGAGUACACGCGACGUGGGCGGAAUUCGUCGUGUAGCGGUGAAAUGCUUAGAUAUGACGAAGAACUCCGAUUGCGAAGGCAGCUGACGGGAGCGCAACUGACGCUUAAGCUCGAAGGUGCGGGUAUCAAACAGG
rnacentral:rRNA from 1 species